UACGUAGGGGGCAAGCGUUGUCCGGAAUUAUUGGGCGUAAAGCGCGCGCAGGCGGUUUUGUAAGUCUGGUGUUUAAACCUAGGGCUCAACCCUGGGUCGCAUUGGAAACUGCAAGGCUUGAGUGCAGAAGAGGAGAGUGGAAUUCCACGUGUAGCGGUGAAAUGCGUAGAUAUGUGGAGGAACACCAGUGGCGAAGGCGACUCUCUGGGCUGUAAC
rnacentral:rRNA from 1 species